rnacentral:rRNA from 1 species
AUUGAACGCUGGCGGCAGGCUUAACACAUGCAAGUCGAACGGUAACAUAAAGAAGCUUGCUUCUUUGAUGACGAGUGGCGGACGGGUGAGUAAUGCUUGGGAAUCUAGCUUAUGGAGGGGGAUAACUACGGGAAACUGUAGCUAAUACCGCGUAGUAUCGAGAGAUGAAAGUGUGGGACCUUCGGGCCACAUGCCAUAGGAUGAGCCCAAGUGGGAUUAGGUAGUUGGUGAGGUAAAGGCUCACCAAGCCGACGAUCUCUAGCUGGUCUGAGAGGAUGACCAGCCACACUGGGACUGAGACACGGCCCAGACUCCUACGGGAGGCAGCAGUGGGGAAUAUUGCGCAAUGGGGGCAACCCUGACGCAGCCAUGCCGCGUGAAUGAAGAAGGCCUUCGGGUUGUAAAGUUCUUUCGGUAGCGAGGAAGGCAUUUAGUUUAAUAAACUAAGUGAUUGACUUAACUACAGAAGAGCACCGCA